UCCAAACAGCCCCAUUCUUGGAAUACCAUCUUAGCAGUACUUGAGAAUUCCUGGUCCUGCUUGAGUCCAACCACAUCUCACUAGUCAUCACCAUGAAGACUCUCUUGGGACUCUUCAUUUCCUUUGGCCUUGCCACUCUAGGCUCUUCUAUAGAGUGUGAAGUUUGCUCUGAGCUCGGCACCAGCUGCAGUGGUGGCACCAUGCCUUGUGAAGCUGGCAAAGAUACCUGCAUCAUCAUCGCGUCUCAUCAUU